rnacentral:lncRNA from 1 species
AAAGGGAAUGGUAAUGAACUAAAUGGGAUGAAACAUCAUUAGUUUGUGUGAAACACUGUUCUAAGAUUCCACUUCUGUCUCGUUCUCAAACAUUAUGAUUGGAGAGGUUAAACAAAUCGUAGAACAUGCACCAUUUGAUGGGGGGUGAACGAUGGGAUUUGAUGGGAUUAUCUCUAUGAUGAGAAUGAUGUCCGCAACUAUGUUGGCACCUUGUCUUUCAGCAAAAAUCCAAAAAAAAUCUCCCUCAAAUAUGACGAUGGGGAAUGGAUCGAUACCUUUGGAUCUAAUUUUUGUAUUGUUACUAUUAUUAUUAUUUUAUAAUUGAUCUUUGUGCAUCAAGGAAGGACAAAAAAAAAGAAACAAGAAGCUAACAAAAGAAGAGGUAAUUAACCUUCUGGUGAUUCGACGUGGAUUGAAUCGACUCUAGGCUUAGCUUGACCCAAAUGUCAUAUAAA